ACUGGUGCGCGAGAUGAGUAUUCUAAGGCGCUUGAGAGAACUCAGGAGAAGGAACUCGGCAAAUUGACACCGUAACUUCGGAAGAAGGUGUGCCUAUAGUAGGUGAAGGGAUUUACUCCUGGAGCCCAAUGAGGUUGCAAAAAAUCGGUGGCUGCGACUGUUUAUUAAAAACACAGCACUCUGCAAACACGAAAGUGGACGUAUAGGGUGUGACGCCUGCCCGGUGCUGGAAGAUUAAAUGAUGGGGUGCAAGCUCUUGAUUGAAGUCCCAGUAAACGGCGGCCGUAACGAUAACGGUCCUAAGGUAGCGAAAUUCCUUGUCGGGUAAGUUCCGACCUGCACGAAUGGCGUAACGAUGGCCACACUGUCUCCUCCUGAGACUCAGCGAAGUUGAAAUGUUUGUGAUGAUGCAAUCUCCCCGCGGAAAGACGGAAAGACCCCAUGAACCUUUACUGUAGCUUUGUAUUGGACUUUGAACAGAUCUGUGUAGGAUAGGUGGGAGGCUUUGAAGUAGGGUCGCUAGAUCUUAUGGAGCCAACGUUGAAAUACCACCCUGGUGUGUUUGAGGUUCUAACCUAGGUCCAUUAUCUGGAUCGGGGACAGUGCAUGGUAGGCAGUUUGACUGGGGCGGUCUCCUCCCAAAGCGUAACGGAGGAGUUCGAAGGUACGCUAGUUACGGUCGGACAUCGUGACGAUAUGCAAUGGCAUAAGCGUGCUUAACUGCGAGACUGACAAGUCGAGCAGAUGCGAAAGCAGGACAUAGUGAUCCGGUUGUUCUGUAUGGAAGGGCCAUCGCUCAACGGAUAAAAGGUACUCUGGGGAUAACAGGCUGAUACCGCCCAAGAGUUCAUAUCGACGGCGGUGUUUGGCACCUCGAUGUCGGCUCAUCUCAUCCUGGGGCUGUAGCCGGUCCCAAGGGUAUGGCUGUUCGCCAUUUAAAGAGGUACGUGAGCUGGGUUUAAAACGUCGUGAGACAGUUUGGUCCCUAUCUUCCGUGGGCGCUGCAGAUUUGAGGAAGCCUGCUCCUAGUACGAGAGGACCGGAGUGGACACACCUCUGGUGUAUCGGUUGUCACGCCAGUGGCAUUGCCGAAUAGCUAAGUGUGGAAGAGAUAACCGCUGAAAGCAUCUAAGCGGGAAACUCGUUUCAAGAUGAGAUCUGCCGGGGCCUUGAGCCCCCUAAAGAGUCGUUCAAGACCAGGACGUUGAUAGGUCAGGUGUGGAAGCGCAGUAAUGCGUUAAGCUAACUGAUACUAAUUGCUCGUGCGGCUUGACCCU
rnacentral:rRNA from 1 species